UCAGUGGUUCCCGAGUUAGAGCUUAACGGGAUAAAUCCACCGCCGGAUACAAUCGAAGAGG
rnacentral:ncRNA from 1 species